GCCGGAGUGGCGGAAUUGGCAGACGCACGGGACUUAAAAUCCCGGGUCUCUUCGGAGACGUGCCGGUUCAAGUCCGGCCUCCGGCACCA
rnacentral:tRNA from 1 species